rnacentral:rRNA from 1 species
UACGUAGGGUGCAAGCGUUGUCCGGAAUUAUUGGGCGUAAAGAGCUCGUAGGCGGUUUGUCACGUCAGCCGUGAAAACUCGGGGCUCAACCCCGAGCCUGCGGUCGAUACGGGCAGACUAGAGUGCUGUAGGGGAGACUGGAAUUCCUGGUGUAGCGGUGAAAUGCGCAGAUAUCAGGAGGAACACCGGUGGCGAAGGCGGGUCUCUGGGCAGUAACUGACGCUGAGGAGCGAAAGCGUGGGGAGCGAACAGG